rnacentral:lncRNA from 1 species
UGCCUUUGGAUUUGGAACGAAGUUAUCUGGCAAGUCAAAACCACUCAAACACUAUCCUGGUUUCAUCCACAACAGGUGAAAACAUAAAAAAAUAGCCUGUAUGAGCAAAUGGCUACCAUGCAUGCAUGCUAUCAUGAACAUGUCCUACUAAUAUACUCUUACUUCCCAAUUAAUCACUACAAGAAAUUUCCUUAUAAAUUUUUUAUUUUUGUCACAUACAAGAGAAAAUGCGUCACGAUUAACUCAUGAUGAUGAUUGCGCCAUGUAUCCCACGUCAUACAUUUGUUGGACCGAAAUAGCCGUCACAAAUUGGUUUUUUCAAUCGUCCUGGAUGAACUAGUCAACAACAAAACCAUAGGUCAAUAGUGAUGAAAUGAACCGUCAUAAUUCUGUUACACGUCAGUAGGCUGUUUGUGGCCCAUUAUUCAUGCCCAUGUGUUUGUGGCACACUAAUGAAACACACAUAAACUAGAACAAAGCUCACAACUGACAAAAUAUUGCUCAUUAUUUUCAUUGAAACCAUCAACAUUUGUACUUGUACAAUAUUUCACAAGAAAUACUAAGACAAUAACCAAACUACACUCAAGUACCUACAAAACUAAGAUGUUGGCUUGUACAACAACAACUCAUAUGAUUUGCUCGCACAACAAAAUCUUUCGUGACUAAUGAAAAUAGCCAACAUGAGCACCUUGAUCCUCUUGCCGCAAUUCCCAGAUAGCCUCAUCAAACAUCUGCAAAAGAAUACUUGAUCAGUAAUAAUCUUCAUAAACAUGUUAAUCAACAUUGCUCCCAUUGGCUACACAAGGAAACUCCUAGGCUAAGAAUCAAAUAAGCACAUGUAGAACCAAUUGAAUGGGAAUGAUUUGACUUCUCAGACUUCACAGGGAAAUCCUCCUGGCAUUAUUGCUCCGACUCAGAGUAGCACAUAAGAGUGGUGCACUGGUGCUGAAAAGAUGAACACACAAACACUAAAAUCAACCAAGAAGCAUUCAUCAUGGAUCCAGCUAGAGGAGAAGAAGGGUGGCCACCAUGUCAUGGAUCUAGUCGGGGGAGAAGAAGGAAAGCCACCCCAUCAUCGAUUUGGCCUGGGAAGAGAAGUAGGGUGGCCACCCCAUCAUCGAUUUGGCCACGGGAGAAGGGUGGCCACCCCGUCGUCGAUCUGCCCGGGGAAGAAGAAGAAGGCCACCCGCUAUCUUGCUCUGUGAGAUUGAGCAAGAGGUGAGAGGUGAGGGGCGUCAGGGAGAAGUGCAUUGAAGAGAGGCGUCGGUGUGUAGCUCCAGGAAGAGGGUGUCCGGUGUGGGGAGAAAGAGGUGAUUUUUUUCUUUUUUUAACAAGAUGGAUGUUGGGCUGAUUUUUUAUUUUAUUUUUCUUGUUUUAUCUUUAUUUAUUUAUUAUUUAUUUUUUCUAUGAAACAACCAAAAGAACAUGUGUGCACCUAUUUAUUUUUUUACUUGUUGGGAAACACCACAUUUGAAAUAUUUUGAAACCUUUUAAUAUUUAUGGAUAAUAUUCAUGCAUAAAUUAAUUAUAUGAAGAAAAGAAUUUUUUUUAGAACCCUAUUUGAGUUCAAUCUUUAAGGCAGCAUAGGAGAAUAUGAUAUGUGACGUCUAACCGUGACGACAGCUAUACCAGCCGUCAUAAAUGUGUGAGCUCAGGAAUGAAACAUCACAAACAAUGAAAUUCUAUGAUGUUUUCUGAGAACGUCACCAGUAAACUGUUAUGAAAAGCUUUAUUUCUUGUAGUGCAAUGCCUUUUCAGCAACGGCGCUAGAAAUGCUUGUUGGCAUUUCUUAGCACAAUCACCAAGAGAGGAGGUUGUAAGUCCUUCCCUGACAAUGACGCUAGAAAUGUAGUAUUGCUACUAGAAUUGGUGGAUCUAAGUAACUGUACCAAGGAAUGUCAUCUGAUAGGUCAUAACGUUUAUAGAUAUUAUCUGCAAGCAUACGGAUCUAUCGUUGUACCAUUUCAUCCAGAAAUAUUAUCAGGGUAUCCUUAUUUAUAUUUUCCCAAACUAAGGCAUGGUUGUAAGAGUUCUAGUGUGGAUAUGAGCAAGAUAGACAUACAUGCAUAAUGAACUGAAUGAUCAUAGAUGGGUAACCAUUUGUAGUUGUAGAUAGUGGAUACACACAAAUGUGCCGACCUUAAGGAUAAAAGGAAAAUAAAAAAUAAAAGAAUAUUCCUAAAUAGAGUAGGCAUGAUUCUAUAUAGCUAUGCAUAAAAUGAAUUAGCAGUCAUACAAGUCAUGUGAAUAGAAUCGAAUUAAGUCUAGGAUGAACAGGAGAUCCCCGUAGCUAGUCUAUCAGCCAAUAGAGACAUUUAUGAACUCCUACACAAUACCCCGAACAUGGGGCUUACAAAGAAUGAAUAGGGCUGUCACCACCUAUCGCCUACCCCUCAACUAUGGUGCACCAUCAUAUCUGAAGGCUCCCAUGCACCCAAGCACCACACAUGUGUACAAAGAAACUACUCAUGUGAAAGGUCCUAAUAUGGCUAGAGGGGGGUGAAUAGCCUAUUUAAAAAAUCUACAAACUCACUAGAGCA